AGGACAAACGCUGGCGGCGUACCUAAGACAUGCAAGUCGAACGGAUCAUAUGGUUUCGGCCGUAUGGUGAGUGGCGGACAGGUGAGUAACGCGUAGGAACCUGUCAUCAAGUGGGGGAUAACGCUGGGAAACCGGCGCUAAUACCGCAUGAGGUCGCAGCAAUGCGAAGAAAGCUUUUCGCGCAAGUGGAAGGCGCUCGAUGAGGGGCCUGCGUCCGAUUAGCUUGUUGGUGGGGUAAAGGCCUACCAAGGCAUCGAUCGGUAGCUGGU
rnacentral:rRNA from 1 species